rnacentral:rRNA from 1 species
GACGAACGCUGGCGGCGUGCUUAACACAUGCAAGUCGAACGGGCCUUGUCCCCUUUUUUUUGGGGGUGGGGUUAGUGGCGAACGGGUGAGUAACACGUGAGUAACCUGCCCCUCACUUCUGGAUAACCGCUUGAAAGGGUGGCUAAUACGGGGUGUUCUGGCCUGCUCGCAUGGGUGGGUUUGGAAAGAUUCGACCGGUUUUGGUUGUUUUGGUGGGGGAUGGGCUCGCGGCCUAUCAGCUUGUUGGUGGGGUGAUGGCCUGCCAAGGCUUUGACGGGUAGCCGGCCUGAGAGGGUGGGCGGUCACACUGGGACUGAGACACGGCCCAGACUCCUACGGGAGGCAGCAGUGGGGAAUAUUGCACAAUGGGCGCAAGCCUGAUGCAGCGACGCCGCGUGAGGGAUGGAGGCCUUCGGGUUGUGAACCUCUUUCGCCAGUGAAGAAGGUCCUGCUCUUUGUGGUGGGGUUGUCGGUAGCUGGGUUAAUGAAGCGCCGGCUAACUACGUG